rnacentral:rRNA from 1 species
UACGAAGGGGGCUAGCGUUGCUCGGAAUGACUGGGCGUAAAGGACGCGUAGGCAGAACAUACAGUCAGAUGUGAAAUUCCCAGGCUCAACUUGAAAGCUGCAUUUGAUACGUGUGAUCUAGAGUGAGGAAGAGGGUCGUGGAAUUCCCAGUGUAGAGGUGAAAUUCGUAGAUAUUGGGAAGAACACCGGUGGCGAAGGCGGCGACCUGGUCCUUUACUGACGCUGAAGCGCGAAAGCGUAAGGAGCAAACAGG